GAGGGGAAGGGGGAAAGGAGGGGGCUGGCUCUUGCUUAAACUCUUGAAACACUAGGAUUGGUUGGUUCAGGAAAAUGAAUUCUAUGACGCUGUUGUAAAACCACCUCUGAUUGGGCCGAUCCAAAAGCGGUGAUAACAAGCUGGAGAGUGUCAGAAGCAGGAAAUCUCCCUCCUUCUACAGAAAGACGGGCAAAGGGUUAAACCAGAAAAGCUGCCUCGUUUUACAAAAAGACUGCAAAGGUAAACAUUUUUUAAUUUUACCCUGAGCUUUAUUGUAUUUUUCUUAGCCACUUUUUUAUAGAGUUUUUACCCUGUGCUUACCGAACAGGCUUUCUCUUUGUCAAUUUUCCUUUUAAACCUCGUUUUUUCUUAACCUACAUUGGUAUUGACUAGCUUUUAUACGUUUUAUUCACUUUUAUUACACUGCCUUAGUACAUUUCCUUUUAAACCUAGUUUUUAAUGUUUUUAAAAGCCUUUUUCUUAGUACCCCUUUAUAGUUUUUGGCCAUUUGCUUACUUAACAGGUUUUGCUUCAGUCAAUUCCCCUUUUAAACCUAGCUGUAUUGUUUUUAAUAUUACUUAAUAAUAUUAAAAAGCUUUUUUUAACCUA